AUCGUUCUUCAACUCUCUGGACAGGACCCAGAUGGGGAUUCUGUAACCUUCAGCAACCAAGGUACCAACACAGACAAGAGCUUUUACUAUGUGAACCCAACAACUGGUGUUGUGUUGCUGAAAGACUUGAGAUCGACUGACCGCACAUCAUUUGAGAUCCCAGUGCAAGUUUCUGACGGUCGUGGAAAAACUGGUGAUGCUAUUGUGAGGAUAACAGUGACAAAGAACAGUGGCCCACCUGUGUUCAGCAAUACACCAUAUGAAACUAGAAUCCCAGUCACACAGCCUGUUGGAACUCGUGUACUCUCGCUCUCCGUCAAUGAUCCUGAUCGCGUGGGAACCAUUGUUUGCCAACUUGAGGGGUACGAACCUGGACAAACCUACUUUGAUCUAAAUAAUGUCACACAUGCCAUCACAG